GAAAGCCGUAUUCGAUGAAAGUCGUAUGUACGGCUUGGAGGGAGAUCUUUCCUAUCUUUCGAGAUCCAACAUACAAUAUGGGGUCAAAAAGCCAAAAAAAUAAGUGAUUUUAGCCCUUAU
rnacentral:ncRNA from 1 species